rnacentral:rRNA from 1 species
AUGAACGCUGGCGGCGUGCCUAAUACAUGCAAGUCGCGCGAACAGACGAGGAGCUUGCUCCUCUGACGUUAGCGGCGGACGGGUGAGUAACACGUGGAUAACCUACCUAUAAGACUGGGAUAACUUCGGGAAACCGGAGCUAAUACCGGAUAAUAUAUUGAACCGCAUGGUUCAAUAGUGAAAGACGGUUUUGCUGUCACUUAUAGAUGGAUCCGCGCCGCAUUAGCUAGUUGGUAAGGUAACGGCUUACCAAGGCGACGAUGCGUAGCCGACUUGAGAGGGUGAUCGGCCACACUGGAACUGAGACACGGUCCAGACUCCUACGGGAGGCAGCAGUAGGGAAUCUUCCGCAAUGGGCGAAAGCCUGACGGAGCAACGCCGCGUGAGUGAUGAAGGUCUUCGGAUCGUAAAACUCUGUUAUUAGGGAAGAACAAAUGUGUAAGUAACUAUGCACGUCUUGACGGUACCUAAUCAGAAAGCCACGGCUAACUACGUG